UACGUAGGGGGCAAGCGUUGUCCGGAGUUACUGGGCGUAAAGGGCCCGCAGGCGGUCGUGUAAGUUUGUACUGACAAUCCCGUGCUUAACGCGGGAGGGUGUAUGAAAACUGCACGACUUGAGGAUGAGAGAGGGACAGGGAAUUCCGGGUGGAGUGGUGAAAUGCGUAGAGAUCCGGAAGAACACCGGUGGCGAAGGCGGCCUGCUGGGCAGUGGCUGACACUGAGGCGCGACAGCGUGGGGAGCAAACAGG
rnacentral:rRNA from 1 species